AUUUUAUUUCAUCGCUACACAGUGUUUCACGUACAGCGUACCUGAAACGCUGUACGUGAAACGCUGUGUAGCGAUGAAAUAAAAU